GACGAACGCUGGCGGCGUGCCUAAUACAUGCAAGUUGAGCGCUGAAGGUUGGUACUUGUACCAACUGGAUGAGCAGCGAACGGGUGAGUAACGCGUGGGGAAUCUGCCUUUGAGCGGGGGACAACAUUUGGAAACGAAUGCUAAUACCGCAUAAAAACUUUAAACACAAGUUUUAAGUUUGAAAGAUGCAAUUGCAUCACUCAAAGAUGAUCCCGCGUUGUAUUAGCUAGUUGGUGAGGUAAAGGCUCACCAAGGCGAUGAUACGUAGCCGACCUGAGAGGGUGAUCGGCCACAUUGGGACUGAGACACGGCCCAAACUCCUACGGGAGGCAGCAGUAGGGAAUCUUCGGCAAUGGACGAAAGUCUGACCGAGCAACGCCGCGUGAGUGAAGAAGGUUUUCGGAUCGUAAAACUCUGUUGGUAGAGAAGAACGUUGGUGAGAGUGGAAAGCUCAUCAAGUGACGGUAACGACCCAGAAAGGGACGGCUAACUACGU
rnacentral:rRNA from 1 species